AACGUAGGAGGCGAGCGUUAUCCGGAGUUACUGGGCGUAAAGCGUAUGCAGGUGGUCGAACACGUCAAAUGUGAAAGCUCCCGGCUAAACUGGGAGAGGGCGUGUGAUACGGUUCGACUAGAGGGUGAUAGAGGAGCGUAGAAUUCCGGGUGUAGUGGUGAAAUGCGUAGAGAUCCGGAGGAAUACCAGUGGCGCAGGCGGCGCUCUGGGUCACACCUGACACUGAGAUACGAAGGCAUGGGGAGCGAACGGG
rnacentral:rRNA from 1 species